UCAAAAACGAUGAUAGGGAGAGUAGCUAGUUAUUCUUCAGUAUAGCGAGCCGGGGAUUGGUGGGAGCCCGGUACUGGGAUACUAGUGAAGCGCACCCUGGAGUUGGGAACCGAACAGGAGAAUUAUUAAUUCUCAGUAGGUUACCCCGGAUUGUUUCCGUUAACAAACACAAGAGAGGACCGGUGUAAAGUGUGUAAUUUACUUGAGCUGCGGAUAUCAAUUAUUUUCCAAAUAUCCAUAGAUAACCGGUAAUCAGGGUGGUAACGCGAGUUGACUCCUCGUCCCUUAG
rnacentral:ncRNA from 1 species